rnacentral:rRNA from 1 species
AGAGUUUGAUCCUGGCUCAGGAUGAACGCUGGCGGCGUGCCUAAUACAUGCAAGUCGAGCGAACAGAUAAGGAGCUUGCUCCUUUGACGUUAGCGGCGGACGGGUGAGUAACACGUGGGUAACCUACCUAUAAGACUGGAAUAACUCCGGGAAACCGGGGCUAAUGCCGGAUAACAUGUUGAACCGCAUGGUUCUACAGUGAAAGGCGGCUUUGCUGUCACUUAUAGAUGGACCCGCGCCGUAUUAGCUAGUUGGUGAGGUAACGGCUCACCAAGGCAACGAUACGUAGCCGACCUGAGAGGGUGAUCGGCCACACUGGAACUGAGACACGGUCCAGACUCCUACGGGAGGCAGCAGUAGGGAAUCUUCCGCAAUGGGCGAAAGCCUGACGGAGCAACGCCGCGUGAGUGAUGAAGGUCUUCGGAUCGUAAAACUCUGUUAUUAGGGAAGAACAAAUGCGUAAGUAACUGUGCGCGUCUUGACGGUACCUAAUCAGAAAGCCACGGCUAACUACGUGCCAGCAGCCGCGGUAAUAC